rnacentral:rRNA from 1 species
CGGCGUCGACUAACAAUGACAGUCGUAGAGAAGUUGGCUUCGGCCGAUAGAGUAAAGUGGCGCACGGGUGAGUAAUGCGUGGAUAAUCUGCCCUUUAGUUGGGAAUAACGUACCGAAAGGUGCGCUAAUACCUGAUAAUACUGCAUAACUACUGUUGUGUAGUCAAAGAAGGCCUCUGUUUACAAGCUUUUGCUGAAGGAUGAGUCCGCGUACCAUUAGCUGGUUGGUGGGGUAAUGGCCUACCAAGGCUACGAUGGUUAGCUGGUCUGAGAGGAUGAUCAGCCACACUGGAACUGAGACACGGUCCAGACUCCUACGGGAGGCAGCAGUGAGGAAUAUUGCGCAAUGGGGGCAACCCUGACGCAGCAACGCCGCGUGAGUGAGGAAGGUUUUCGGACCGUAAAGCUCUGUCGAGCGGGAAGAAAUGUAUCAUGGCUAAUAUCCAUGAUACUUGACGGUACCGCUAAAGGAAGCACCGGCUAACUCCGUG